rnacentral:rRNA from 1 species
AUUGAACGCUAGCGGGAUGCUUUACACAUGCAAGUCGAACGGCAGCGCGGACUUUGGCCUGGCGGCGAGUGGCGAACGGGUGAGUAAUGUAUCGGAACGUGCCCAGUAGCGGGGGGAUAACUACGCGAAAGCGUGGCUAAUACCGCAUACGCCCUACGGGGAAAGGGGGGGAGUUCUUCGGAACCUCUCACUAUUGGAGCGGCCGAUAUCGGAUUAGCUAGUUGGUGGGGUAAAGGCCUACCAAGGCGACG